rnacentral:rRNA from 1 species
GAUGAACGCUGGCGGCGUGCCUAAUACAUGCAAGUCGAGCGAAUGGAUUAAGAGCUUGCUCUUAUGAAGUUAGCGGCGGACGGGUGAGUAACACGUGGGUAACCUGCCCAUAAGACUGGGAUAACUCCGGGAAACCGGGGCCAAUACCGGAUAAUAUUUUGAACUGCAUGGUUCAAAAUCGAAAGGCGGCUUCGGCUGUCACUUAUGGAUGGACCCGCGUCGCAUUAGCUAGUUGGUGAGGUAACGGCUCACCAAGGCAACGAUGCGUAGCCGACCUGAGAGGGUGAUCGGCCACACUGGGACUGAGGCACGGCCCAGACUCCUACGGGAGGCAGCAGUAGGGAAUCUUCCGCAAUGGACGAAAGUCUGACGGAGCAACGCCGCGUGAGUGAUGAAGGCUUUCGGGUCGUAAAACUCUGUUGUUAGGGAAGAACAAGUGCUAGUUGAAUAAGCUGGCACCUUGACGGUACCUAACCAGAAAGCCACGGCUAACUACGUGCCAGCCGCCGCGGUAA